rnacentral:lncRNA from 1 species
CACUAAAUUGGUUGUUUUAUUAUUCACUCACCUUACAUAUUUUCCUCCUUAAAACCUGAGGAUCUUUGAUCAUAUGAAGAGUGGCUCUAACCUCCUUCUGUUCACCAGCUUUCAGCCCAGCAUUCCCGUCCCUGUCAGCUGGGUCACUGUUUUGCCCUCUUCCCUUUGAAAGUUCUGCAUCCUCUUUUGCUGAUUCCUCCCCACUCGUUCACCUCUUCCAAGGCUAAAAGCCUCUUCAGCAGGCUCCUCACGUNCGGAUUCUUGUCUUAGUUUGCUGGGGCUGCCAGAGUAAAAUACCACAGAUGGUGGAGCUUAAAUGCAAACUUGUUUUCUCACAGUUUGGAGGCUGGAAGCCUGUUCAGAGUCUUGGUAAGGGUCUGCUUCCUGGCUUGUAGACAUCUGCCUUCUUGCUUUGGGUGAGUGAGGGUGAGAGGGAGGAGAGGGGAGGGAGUUUAACUCUGUUUUUAUCCCGGGAAAGAUGGUAGGGAGACCCGUUAAACAGGUAGAAAUGCAGUUGGUGGGCUGAACAUGAAGUUCUGGGGGCAGAGGAAGCGGGGACAUUGCAAUGAAGUGGCCCCUCAUGCUUUCUGGUCACACUCAGACGGUGGGAGGCUGGUCCCCUGAAGGUGGCUCUGAGCCAGGGCAAACCCUCCAGGGCUGGAAUCAGGUGAGCUGGGUCACAUGGCUGGGCUGCUAUGAGCACAAGGGGUGGGAUUCCAGACUCAACCACAGAAACCCAGCUCACUGGCUUAAGCUGGAAAGGGUGGGGUCUUGGCUUUAUGGCAUCUUCCUUCUGGAUUCUCUCUACUGGGUUUGUUUGUUUUUUUUUUAGGGGGGGGUUGUUUUGUUUUGUUUUUGGAGUGUAGUUGACUUAUGAUGUUGUAUUAGUUUCAAGCGUACAGCAAAGUGGCUGUUUCUGGCUCUGUGUCCUUCUGCGUCAACUCCAUUUCAGCAUCUGUUUUCUCCUGUGGAGUCUGAGGCUUCAUGUUUCAUGAAAAGAAGGACCUUCUCCAGAUCACUCCCAGGAUGAGCUUUGGUCACCUCUGAGGAGGUCACUGAUCAAUUUUUAAUGAGGCUCAGGUGGUGCAUUGCUUGAAUAGGCAUUGGUGGGACCAUUGGCUGACUCAGCUUCAUGAAGGACCUCACGCUCUAAGACUGGGAAGUCAACUCCAACAAAAAUUGGGACGAUGUGGAGUUCCCAUCGUCGUGCAGUGGUUAAACGAAUCUGACUAGGAACCAUGAGGUUUCGGGUUCCAUCCCUGGCCUUGCUCAGUGGAUUAAAGAUCCGGCGUUGCCGGGAGCUGUGGUGUAGGUCACAGAUGCGGCUUGGAUCCCAUGUUGCUGUGGCUCUGGCGUAGGCUGGCAGCUAC